rnacentral:piRNA from 1 species
UCCUUUCCAGAUUAGUAGCAGGCCCAGUGU